AAACGACUCUCGGCAACGGAUAUCUUGGCUCUCGCAUCGAUGAAGAACGUAGCGAAAUGCGAUACUUGGUGUGAAUUGCAGAAUCCCGUGAACCAUCGAGUCUUUGAACGCAAGUUGCGCCCUAAGCCUUCUGGCCGAGGGCACGUCUGCCUGGGUGUCAC
rnacentral:rRNA from 1 species